CAGCUGCGCAGUAAGCACAUAGCGAACUAUUCUUUCGCCUUUUACUAAAGAAUACCGUGUGCUUGCUGCACUUCAAGCAGCAUACGCCUCUUUUUUGAGGGUUUUUUUUCCUUUUGGAAAUA
rfam:Erythranthe guttata cultivar DTN x IM62 scaffold_18_contig_49, whole genome shotgun sequence.